ACGAACGCUGGCGGCGUGCCUAAUACAUGCAAGUCGAGCGCAGUUUUUCUGGUGCUUGCACCGGAAAAACUUAGCGGCGAACGGGUGAGUAACACGUAAAGAACCUGCCUCAUAGACUGGGACAACUAUUGGAAACGAUAGCUAAUACCGGAUAAUAGCAUUAACUGCAUGGUUGAUGUUUAAAAGUUGGUUUUGCUAACACUAUGAGAUGGCUUUGCGGUGCAUUAGCUAGUUGGUGGGGUAAAGGCCUACCAAGGCGACGAUGCAUAGCCGACCUGAGAGGGUGAUCGGCCACACUGGGACUGAGACACGGCCCAGACUCCUACGGGAGGCAGCAGUAGGGAAUCUUCCGCAAUGGGCGAAAGCCUGACGGAGCAACGCCGCGUGAGUGAAGAAGGAUUUCGGUUCGUAAAGCUCUGUUGUUAGGGAAGAAUGAUUGUGUAGUAACUAUACACAGUAGAGACGGUACCUAACCAGAAAGCCACGGCUAACUACGUG
rnacentral:rRNA from 1 species